CCCAAACAGUAGGAUUUGAAGUCCCUCAAUCUUUGUGUGGUCUCUCUGUUUGGGGUCUUCACACUGUGAGGUCAGGAUAAACGGGAUAAAAAUGCCAGUUCAGAAAUUCCAAGGCUUAUAUCCCCCAGGAAUAAGUCAGCAUCUGAAGCCUCCCUUGUGACUUAACACUGGGAAGUGAUGAGACAUCAAUUCUGAUUGUUCUGUCCAGUGAGUCACAAAACCUCAUCAAGGGAAGAGAGUGUGGAUGUCGCUCUCUUCUGGGAAAGCAGCAACUGUCAUAGAGAAAACACAGACAACAUGGGGACAGCUGUGAAAACUGCAAUCUGCCUCCAGAAGGAAGCAGAGGAUACUCAGGCAUGAAAGCAGUUGUCCUUCUGGGACAGAAGAUGGAGUUCCAAGCAGUUGCGAGCCACCAUGUGGGUACUGGGAACAGAAUCUGGGUCCUCUGUAAGAGCAGCCAUUUCUCUUAACCCGUAAGCCACCUCACAAUCAUGGUAUCUGGAAGUUCCUCUACACGUCUUCCUUCCGUUUGUCUGCUUCGAAUCACGCACACAAGUGAAGAGGCUCACGGACCAGUAGGAUGACUGCACCCUGAGGCUUCUGCACUGCAGAGAUCUCCAGAGACUGGCCAGCCCUUCCUCUGUGGUAAACGCUGUCCUUCAGGGCUGUGUAGUUGGUGCUGCAGCGAGUUCAGCCCACCCAGCUUCUCAGAACAUGUGUCUGUGUGUCUGUCUUAUUCUCUCAUCACCCUGGUCAGGUUUUCAGGACAAAGCCACACAGGACACAGCAGCCUACACGAUUCCGGAGAUCUAGGUUCAGCGAGAGAUUCUGUCUCCGGUGAAAACUUGGUUAGUGACGUUGUCUUCCGGUCUCCACGUGUGCAGACACAUGUGUGUGCACCUGCACACCUCACCCUGACACAGCUACCCCUAAAUUCCAGCCUCAUAGGGACCAUCUUGGCGGUGUGCCUGCUAUGUCCAGGGACCUGACAGUGCCCGAGAUCCACCCAAUACAAGCAGGGACAACACGUUAGAGACACAAGCAAAGCGACAACAAAGAGAGCUGCUGGCGCUUCCUUUAGGGAGUGUGUGGCCUUGUGUGGAGACAAACUUAAGUGCAUGUCACCUCACAGAGAGACCACAGUGGAGUGACCCCCAGGCAGGCAGUGAAUGCCAUCUGUCUUUCUCUUUCUCCUUUCCUGGGCCUCAGCCUUUGUAUCUGAAAGUGCUUCCCCCGGAGGCACCCAUUUAAGAACACAUCUCAAAGAAUUAUCGAGAAAAAGCAAACCCUACUCUCCCCUUUUAGACAGAAUCCAGGGAGAGAUGCAGCUGGGUUCAAAGCUGUGUUACAAAGCAGCAUGACCUGGGGCUGUGCAAUAUUGGUUAAGUGAAUGACCUCUCUGGUCUCCGUGCACUUAUGUGUAAAACAGGAAAGCCAGUCUUAGAGACUGGGUUUCAGAGACAUUCACUGUCUCCAGUGCCUUUUUUGGUGAUCAAACUCUCUUUAUUGGUGUGUGUUUAUGUAUGUGGGGGUGGGCGCAUGUUCCUGUGGGUGUGUGCAUGUGUGAGGGUCCAUGUUCAGGUUAGAUGCCAUGGGCGUCUUCCUCAGUUGCUUACCUUCUGUUUUGAGACAAGGCCUUUUGAUAACUUCACCUACUCUGCUGGGCUUCCUGGUCAGAGAGUUCCAUUCUUGGUCUAGAUUUACAGCCUGGCACUGCUGAGUGUGGCUUGUGUAUGGGUUCUGAUGGUCAGAACUCCGGUCCCAUGCUUAUGAAGCAGGCACAGUACUGACCAGACCCUCCUCAGUCCGUGCUUCCUUGUUUGUUCUGAGGCCAUUCCUACUUUGUCGUCUAGCUGUUACUGAACUCCUGAGCGCUCUGGCUCAUAGUGCCUUUAGUUUUGAGACAGAGUCUCACUCUAGUCCAAUAUGGUCUAGAACUCUGUAUGUAGCCCAUGGAAGUCUCAAACUCCUGGCAAUCCUCCUGCAUCAGCCUAUCGUGCUGAGAUUACAAGUGUGAGUCACCAUACCCAGUUUCAAAGUGAUUUUUAAUCACCAAAACAUUAUUUUCCAAAAUAAGUCUGGAAUUUUUCAUGUAAGUUACAUAUGCACACAUAACACACAUGUAUGUUUUCCUGUGUGGGCAUAGAAGUCUAUCUCUCUACCACUGAGCUACAUCCUUCUCCCUGGAAUUUUUCCCUAAGACUUUCCUAAUAACACUGAAGAAACGCCUCAGAAGUUAAGACAAC